rnacentral:rRNA from 1 species
GACAGAGGGUGCAAACGUUGUUCGGAAUUACUGGGCGUAAAGCGUGCGUAGACGGCUAUCUAAGUCGGGUGUGAAAGCCCCGGGCUCAACCUGGGAAUUGCAUUCGAGACUGAAUAGCUAGGGUACGGUAGAGGGAAGUGGAAUUUCCGGUGUAGCGGUGAAAUGCGUAGAUAUCGGAAGGAACAUCAGUGGCGAAAGCGACUUCCUGGACCAGUACCGACGUUCAGGCACGAAAGCGUGGGGAGCAAACGGG